CCUACGGGAGGCAGCAGUGGGGAAUAUUGGGCAAUGGACGAAAGUCUGAACCAGCCAAGUAGCGUGAAGGAUGACUGCCCUCUGGGUUGUAAACUUCUUUUAUAAAGGAAUAAAACGAGGCACGUGUGCCUUUUUGCAUGUACUUUAUGAAUAAGGAUCGGCUAACUCCGUGCCAGCAGCCGCGGUAAUACGGAGGAUCCGAGCGUUAUCCGGAUUUAUUGGGUUUAAAGGGAGCGUAGAGGGGUUGUUAAGUCAGUUGUGAAAGUUUGCGGCUCAACCGUAAAAGUGCAAUUGAUACUGGCAGUCUUGAGUACAGGUGAGGUAGGCGGAAUUCGUGGUGUAGCGGUGAAAUGCGUAGAUAUCACGAAGAACCCCGAUGGCGAAGGCAGCUUACUAGACUGUGACUGACAUUGAGGCUCGAAAGUGUGGGGAGCAAACAGGAUUAGAUACCCCAGUAGUC
rnacentral:rRNA from 1 species